ensembl:lncRNA
UGCGUGUGAUGGAAAAGAUCAAAUAAGCAAGCGUGGAAAGCAGAAUAACAGUCCGCCAAAGACGUCCACGCCCCGGUCCCCAGAACCUGGGACCGUGUUGGUUACACGGCUCAGAGGCCUUAGGCCGCAGCUCGAGUCGAGGUUAGUAAACAGCUGACCUUUGGUUUCCACAGAUCACACUAGAUUUUAUUUUUUUUCCUAAUUUUAAACAUUAGGAAAGUUGGUAUAUGUGACAGUUUCAUAUGCAUGGAUUGGAGGGUCAUAGGGCUGUGGCGUCACGUGGGCAGGAAAGAAGAUAAAGAAACCCGUGAGAAAUCAUAGAAUAAGUGAAAUGCAAAGCAAAUUGGAGUGACCCACGUUUAAGGAACAUUUAAAGAUGGUGGGGUUUUUUUUUUCGAUUUCUACUCAUUUGAUGUUUCGAGUGUUUUUUUCCUUCUUCUUCUUCUCUCCCCAAAGGCCCCCAGUGCGUAGUUGUAAAUUUUAGUUGCAGGUCCUUCUAGUUGUGGACGUUUCAGUUUUUAUCGAGGAAAUCUUUGUUUAUUUUGACUGAUCCAUUCCUUAUUUCCAUUGAGGUAUAACUGACACCUGACGUUGUGUUAGUUUCAGGUGUGGGACAUCACGGUUCGCUGUUUGUGUGCGCUGUGAAGCGAUCACCACAGUAAGUCUGAAAGCUGACAUCCCUCACGGACACGGUUAUAACACGUUCUGCUUUUUCCCUGUGGUGAGGACUUCAGGCUCUGCCCUCAGCUGCUUUUCCACAUGCGCUGCGGUGCUGUUCCCUGCAGCCACCGCGCUGGGCGUGACGCCCGGGACUCAGCGACCCAAGCAGCUGACCUCAUGGAGAGAUCACCCCGGACUCUCCAGGUGGGGCCAGUGUCAUCAGAAAGAGCCUGAAAAGCGGAAGAGGACGCAUAUCUGAUGUUACCCGUCGGUCACACCUCAGGAGGAAAAGCGGACGAGAACGGAGAGAGCCAGCGAGACGAAGACGGCCGGGUGACAAGGGAGGCCAGGGGCCCCGGGCCGCGUGCUGCGCUCUCAACAACCCCAGUGAGCAGGAGUCGGUGCCCCGGAGCCUUGGGACGGGAGCGCAGCCUGUGGCACCUCGGGCUAAGCUUUCGGGGACCCUGAGCAGAGAGGUGCCGAGCCCCCCGCACCUCCCACCCUUGGAAACUGUGCUGAUAGCUGGCUGCCAUGUUAGUACCACAUUGUGCUUGUUACACAGCAGCACGUUACAGCGGCAGAUGGAAAGCCCACAGCCAGUUCCCCAGGGCCAGUGGAGUCUGGUCUGGGUCACAGUGGGCUUCCUGAAAAAGCAGCCUUUGAGGUGAGACCCGUAGGAUGAACCUCGCCGACUUGGCAAAGGGCAGAGGCAGAGGGAACAGAAGGUGCAAGGGCCCUGAGGCAGGAGGAAAUCAGCUCAAGUGAGAAAAGGAAGGAAGCCCAGUGCGACUGGGAGGCAGACCCCGGGCACGUCGCUGCGCUCUCUGAGCCUCAGUUUCCUCCCCCGCGAGGUGGGAUUAUAGGAGCUUUCCCUCACUAUGAGGGUGAGACGGCCCUGCAAGCUGUGUAGCAAAGCAGCUGGAGACGUGGGCCCCACAGCCAGCCCAGACCGGGGCUCGAGCUCCAGGUCUUCUGCUUACUGCCUGGGUGACCGUGGGAGGCUGCAUCCCCUCUCUGAGCCUCAGUUUCCCUCUCUGCCAGGCUGCUGUCAGUCUUAGAUAAGAGCGUGUCAGUGGUGCUCAACAAAUGCUGGCUAUCAUUGUCAUCGUUUUCGUUAGGAGACGGGGACCCAAAGUCGGACAGGAACGUGCUCAGGGUCCCCCAGAGACUGGUGGGCGCACUGGGUAGAAACGAGUCUCCCGAUCCGGCCGUGGACCCCCCAGCUUCUCCGUCUGAAGGCCGCACCAACCGAGGCGGCGGGACUCAGCCAGGAAGGCUGUGUGCGUGUGAGUGUGAGCGUGCACACACGUGCAUGCAAGAGCGUGAGGGGGAGCCAGAGUGUGUGUGUAAAGGUACAUGUGUGAGUGUGCAUGGGUGUGUGAAUGUGCUUGGUGGUGUUGAUGAGACAACAUGGCCUGGGGGACAGACGGACGGUCAUCAGUGAGUCCUUGUGCCUGGUCAGGCCGGCCCCCGGGGAGGGGGGGGCAAUACUCACCAAGAGGCUCCUGGCCCUGGUGGGCUCCUUACAGCCACAGGCCGUCAUUUCAGACGGUGUCUGUCCAGGGAGCAGCUGACCCUCUGGGGCGCGUUUCACGGGGAUGGCGGGGCGGGGCAGGAAGUGACCCUUCUCCUCAGGGAGUCGCGACCCGGCUCUGUGCUCGUGGCUUCACGUACAUCUCCUUAUGUAGUCAGCACAACAGCCAUAUUAUUCACAUUACAAAUGAGGAAACUGAGGCUCUGGGAGCCCGGGAGACCCCAGUUCUGCAUCUCCGCUGUGCUCAGAGCCCUUGCAGCAUUGGCUGCGGCUGCAGCCAUCAACAGGCCGUGUGCCCCUCCCACCUCUUGGAUCUGAGCUGGUCCUGUAAUUCGCUUUGGCCAACAGACUUGCCGGCAGAGAUGUUGUGCCAAAUCUAAGCUCAUGCCCCUGACAGCCUUGCGUGCUUCUGCCCUCUCUCGGACUCCUGUCCCCAUCAGGAGAACAAGCCUGGCAGAGAAGGAGCGACAGGUCACCCAGCCGUGCCCUCACCUAGAUGAUCGUUAGCCACGCCCCAGAACAGAGCCUCCAGCUGGCCCAGCAGGCAACUGCAGAGCGUGAGGGACCCCAGCUCAGACCAGAAGAACCAUCGAGCUGAUGGUUCAGGCUAAAUUAACUCACUGAAUCAUGUUGUUUUAAACUUUGGGGUCAUUUGUCACCCGGUGGUAGCUAACUGAUACCCAUAAUCAUACAGCUGUUGAGUAGAGUAAGUUUCAAACCCAGGUUUGUCUGACUCCAGAAUUCAUGCUCAACCCUAUAUUCUGCCAUCCCCCAGCGGGGAAAUGAGUGUAAGGGUCCAAAGCCACUGAUGGUCCCACUCUGCCCUCACACGCUUCAGUCUUCGUCUUCCGGGAGCACGCCCAGUGCCUGCUCUCUCCACCUGGGAGCUCCUGCCUGGCUCGGGCCCUUUCACCCCCUUCUCUUACCACAGUCCAGGCAGGGACCGAGCGCUGGCCGCAGCCUCGGGUGCCCCCAGCCUCCACCUAGAUCAGCACUGUCCCCCCUCAUUUGCGAAGUCCGUGCAGAGAGCUGGCAGAACGAACCCACGGUUUCGACACGUACACAUCAGCGGCCACGAUAAAAACCAGCUGGAAGGUUUAAAAAUAGCCUCCCAGGCUGCCGGAGAUGCCAGGUCCCUGGCCGGGAGGAGCAGCAGCCCCGCGGCGGGGGCACCAUCUGCGGGGCAACAGCUGCCGCCGCACGCCCAGGAGACUCCCGGCCGGGCCCAAGACGCCCGAGAGCGUGGCCGAGCCUGAGCCCCUGGGAGCACAAGCCCCCAGACAGGGGAGGACGGAGAGGAAGAUGACGCCGGGCCCAGGAGGAGGCGCUUCCUCCUCCCCCUUGUCAAACCUCUCUCUCCUUUCCCUCCUAUCCCCCAUCUCUCUCCUCCUUCAUCACCCCUGUAAUUAAUGCUCGGGCGGGCCGUGGAGGGACAGGACCCACGCCCUACCCUCCCAGGCUGUGCGAUCUUAAGCAGGUGACUCCACCCCAUGAGCCUCAGUUUCCUCAUCUGUCAGAUGGGGCCCCUGCCUUGCUGGAUGGUGCUGUUUCCGCAGGACAGCGCCAGUGAAGAGCUCAGCGGAGCCACCGGCAAGUCCGCGAGAGCCCCGUCUCCCCUCUUCCGAGAAGGCUGACGGUGAUGGUGAGGACCCCACGCCAGCCCCGCGCUCGUCCUCUCCCUGGCCCCUCUCCCUGCUUCUGGCCCUAGGCCUCUCCUUCCCCUCUCAGACCCCGACCUGGCCCCCGCAGGCUGAAGACAGACGAUGAGCUGGGGCCUGUUGCGCUGAAUUCCACCUCGGCGCGGCCUGCUGCCCUGCUCCAGCCGCACCUGGCUCGCAGAGGGAGCCUGGCCGGGCACCCUCCAGCUCCCCAGUCAACCCCUCACCCGCGGGCUUCCGGUUCACGCUGCAUCCCAGCACCAAGCCUGGCGCGUCACACAGUGCUGCUCGAUGAGCAUCGCUGAGGGACUGAAGGAACGAGCGGGACUCCUGUUGUUCCCACUUUACAGAUGAGAAACUGAGGCUCUGAGAGGUGGGCCGGCAUGUGGCAGAAUACAACCCUUGCAGGUUGAGGGAAGCCAGGCUUGGGGGAGUGACAGGUCCCACCAAGGUCCCAGUGGUGGGAUUUGAACCAUUUCACUGGCACCGAAGCCUGAGUCUUAACCACCAGCGACGCCUCAUUCUCACAUCUCUUCUAGCCGACUUCCACAGUCAGCAUCCUUGCAGGUCAAAGCCUGUCAUGCAUGUGCUGUGUGGCCUUAGGCAACUCACAUAACCUCUCUGAGCCUUGGUUUCUGCACUGGUAAAACAAAAAACAGACCUCAGGCAGAAUUUCCCUCAGCUCAUUUUUCCUCUGCUUUCUCAGCAUCUAGCGCUGGCUCUGGCAUGCAGUCUGUGCCAAAUAAAUCUGUUGAUUAAUUAAUCAAAAGGACAAGUUUACCUUAGAGCAUUGAAGUCUGCCCAGGAGCUCUCCAGUUGGGUGUCUCUGGGAACAUAUUCCUUCUCUCCCCACUUUAAAGAAACAGAAACUGCAAAAGGCAAGAGAUGCACUGGGCAUGUGGUUCAUGCAAGAGAGACCGGGGAAGCCCAUCGCAGACUCCCAGGCCCUCGGAGAAAAGACCUUUUUCCCACAUCGAAACAUGGGCGGGCGGACGUGCAUCACCAGGCUGCCCGUUAAUACGCAGCGUCGAAGCCAGACGGUGCACUGGUUGCCAUCUUGGCAGCCCCAGCAGAGGCAUCUGGCGACACGGACGCGUGGUCUGAUGGCAUUGGCUGGACGUGUCCAUUUUCUCCAGCCCCACAGGAAGGCUGUGUGUCCCUGCUGUGCCGGCGCUGUGCCAGGCUCUGGGAGACCCCUCCGCGUGAGCCAGGCCCACCCCACCCUGAGGGCGCUCAGAGCUCGGGACCAGGUGGGGUCCCCAAGCUUCGGACCCAGUCCCUGAGGUUCCAGCAGAACAGCCCCAAGUUCCACGGGGCAGGUUCCCACGCCUGGGUGGGUGCUUCUGGAGACCGCAGAGAACUUUCCAGCAGAGUGCACCCCUGGGGCCAGGGUCCAAGGCCGCAGCUGUCGGGGGAGCCCCAAGCCCCUUGCAGGAACCCCAGGGGGCAGCCUCCUGUUCCUGUCCCGAGGAGAGGCCCUGGGGCCCUCGGCCGUCCUGCCGUCCACCCCCAGGCUCCCCAGCUCUGCCCAGGCCCCCCGCCCACAGCGUCCUGCCAGGCUGGCUAAAAGCAGGCGCUGCGCCAGCUUGCCAGCCUCCGGUCCGCAGGGACGACCCUGACCCUGGGCUUCAACAGAGAGGCUGGGAGACACUUGCCUUAGGCUGUGUGUCCUGUCCCCACGUGGCUCCCGGCUGCUCCCAAGAUGGGAACCAGGGUGUCUCUUUCAUAGACUUUCCAGACCCUUCCUGCGGGUCCUACCACCGCUGCGGGCUGGAGUGUCCAUGGGCCCGGCCAGGUCACACACACCCCCACGCCCCAGGGAGCGGGAAGGGCCCGGGGGCUCGCACUGGGCCCCCACACUCAGGAGGCCCCAACCUCGGUUUAAUGCCCUGCUGUGGCCGUCUUCACAGUCUUGGUACGUUUUGAACGUGGGGUCACACAUUCCCCUUUUGCACGGGGGCCCUAAUUCUGCCCCACCCCUGAGAUCCUAGAACUCCUGAAAAGCCUUCAGAAACGGGCAGCAGCAGAAACCGCAAAUAGCCCCACGUCCCGACUCCCACACCAGGGCCCGGGCACUCACUCCUGCACGUGCUCACCUCGCACGGCUGUGCUCACGGGGCCUCACGGGUGCCCCUGCACAUGCACACACAUGCAUGUUUACAUGUAUGACAGCUGUCACCCUGGCCACAAGCUUCCUGCUGUGCGGGUGGCUCGGGAGACCUCGAAAUGCCACCCCAGCACCGCUAGGCUGAGGAGAAAGCAGGGAGGGCCGAGAAAAGCCUGGAGGGGGUGUUGGGGCCAAGGGAGCACCCCUACCUCCCCCAGUCUCCCUGGAAACCAGGGGUGCCCCCCUCGCCCGGGAUCCCGCUUAGUCCUCCCAUAGCUCUCUGCAGGGCCCUCCGCACUGUACCCGCGGGGUCCCCGCAGCCGUCCCCGAGCUCAGGUCUGUGUUACGCCUAUUUUAAGGAUGGCAAAACUGAGGCUCCAGGAAGCAAAGUCGCCCGCUGGAACCAAGGCACGAAGGCAGGCAGACCCGGGAGCUCCAAGCCCCUCAGAGGCUCCUGACAUGUGACAAGCCUCAGCCCACCUCGCCCUGGCCCCCCGUGGGCUUGCCCCCUCCUGUUCCUCACCUGCAGGGGUUUGCUCCCCAGGUGGGGCUCCAGCUGGUUCAGAGGGGCACGUCCUCCCUCCAGGGCUCACACUGGCCCUCACAGGGACAGGUGGGGACAGGUCACUGCCCAGGGGCCCCCAGUGAUCUCGAGAGCCCAGGGCCCCUCCCUCGGCCAGCCUUGCCCUCGACCCCACAGCCCAGGCGCCGGCAAGGGUCUGACCAGUGUGCCUGGGACCUGCCAACGGAGUCCAAGAGCAGAACCCCCCGGGGCAUGGGGACUGGGGUGGGUGUGCUCACAGCGGGGAUGGAUGCGGCUGGUGCCCUGGGGCUGGCUGGGGCUCCCGUGGGGCUGUGGGAGUUCCCGGAAUCUGUCUGCACCUGGCCUUCUCUCAAGAUUGUAGAUGGAGCCUUCUGAAGGUUCCAAAUGGAACAUUCCAGAAGUUCUAAACGGAGGCUCCUCUCCUGGGGGUGCUUCUCAGGGGGACUCCCCUUCGAGCCACAGGGCCAGCGUCCAGGCGGCUGGCUGGGCUGGGAGGAGGGGAGGCCGCAGGCCCGUGGGCCAGGCCUUAUUUGGUCAGAGCCCGCGCCCGCUGCCUGGCCGGAGCUCCUGGGACCGGGAGGCCCACGCCGCCGAGCCUCCGCCGCCCGCAGCUCGCCUGUCCCCAGCCUCCUCGCCAGCCCUGCCCUACGGCCAAGGCUGCGGCCCCAGGGAGCCCGAGAUGCCGGGUCGGCCGAGGUGGUGGCAGCCCUGAUCGCCACCGGGCUGCAGGGUCCCGGCUCCUGUCCAUAUAUGGCCGAGGAGAGGCGGUGGCCACCCGCCCGCCCUCCUGGAGGGGUUGUCCCCAGCGGGGGGCUGGGCACUGGCGCUGAGGCCCCGCGUUCCUGUAGGAGCCUGGCAGGGGCCUAUCUGACGGUGCUGAGAGUGUGCUGGAGCCUCCAGCGCGGGGAGUCACCCACCCGCCCUCCCCCGGGGCAUGUGACUGGCAGCUCUGCGGGAGCGAGCGGAGGGCGCGCGGGCACUGGGCCUGGGAGAGGGACGCAGGUCCGGGUCAGAAGCUCGGGGCGACCGGGCUGGGACCGACCCUCCCGGGCCUCGGCUUCCUGAUCUGGUACCCACCACACCCAGGGGGGGCCCGAGGGUGCAGGGAGGACGAGGGGCAUGGAGGGGCGCCCAGGGGGGGUCACCAUCGGCAGGGCCGCCAGUCUCCGAGUCCUGCUAGUGUCCUGACUCAUCCGUCUUUGUCACUUCAUCCAACCUCACAAACACCAACCUACUUGGGUCUGCCUGGGCCUCUCCUGGUUUUAGCCCCGAGGGUCCUGCCUCCGGGCGACCAGGACAGUUAGUGGCUCGCCCUGCAGGUGGCCCAGCGCCACCAGGAGCUGGGAGAGGGGAGUGGCUGGCCGGAGCCCUUCCUUGACCCAUACCCCCUCCACCCCAACCAGGAGAGGCCAGGGGAAAGCACAGGGCAGCCCCCUCUGUCAAGGCCAAUGACCGCUGGCAGGACCGAGGGAGGGUGGGGCUGCCGCUGGGGGGUGGGGCGAGGGAGUGGCCGGACCUGCCCUCCAAUCCGGAGGCCUGUGACCUCAAGCAUCUUCUGGGCCCCAGUCGCCCCGCCUCCUAAAUGGGAGAGCCACGAUAGGCAGCCAUAGCCCAGCUUCGCGGAUGCCAAGCUCUGUUCAGAGCUGUGCACCCUCGGCAGGAAGGGCUGCUCACUCUGUGCAGACAAGGAGCAGAGCCCAGAGAGUUUGAGACAGCUGCCCCAGGUCACACAGCUGGGAACUGUAGAGCAAGGAUUUGAGCCCAGAACCACCUGCUUCAGGCCCAUGCGUAACACAGGAGACAGCGCCCUGCAGGGGUGGCAUGCAAGGGCUCUGGGGUCAGCCCCUGAGGGCCCAACUCUAGGCUCCCUGGCCUGAAGGUCCCUUGGCCCUGGGCAAGUUGCCGGACCUGUCUGGGUCUGUUCUGCACCUACCACGUGGGGAUGACAACAGUACCCACCUCGCAGGUUGGUCGUUUACCUAAGAAAUUUCUGUUAGGCUCCUACACUGGGCAGACACUGAUCUAGACGCUGAAGAUACGGCAGAGAACAGAACCCACAGAAAUCCCUGCCUGGAGUCUAUAUUCUGGGUGGGAGCACAAAGACCCAAAACAUAGCCCUCUGUUGGGGGAGGGAACAGAGCGUGAGGGGGGCGGUCCCCUUUAACGAGGAGGGAGCCUGCUACCUUCGAGGAGAGGGCAUUUGAGCAGAACCCGAAUGAAAAGAGGGAGCAAGCUGUUCUGAUUUCAGGGAGAAGAGCACUUUGGGCCUGAGGGAACAGCCUGUUCGAGGGAACAGCCAGUGCAAAGGCCCUGAGGCAGGAUGAGGUUGGAAAGGCUGGAGCAGAAGAAGUGGUAGGAGGCAGGCAUGCAGAGGUGGGCAGGGCUCUGGUUGUGCAGGGGAUGAGAAGCCGCUGGAGGGUUUCAAGCAGAGUGAGGACAGGAUCGCAGUGAAGGUUUUAAAGGAUCUGUCUCACUGUGUGAGGGAGGACGCAAUGAUCCGACAGGAGGCGAGCAUGGCUGGGCCCAGGCUGGGAGCAGGGCAGGAGGGGAAGGUCUGAUUCUGGAGAUACUUUCCAAGUCAAGCUGACGGAUGGGAUAUGGCGGGGGCAGAGGGGGAAGGGAGCGGGGAGUUGGAGAGGGUUCUGGGCUCUUGCGAGCACUAAGCGAGUUCACACCCCAGGAGUUCUUCCCCAGGGCCCGGACGGGGUGACUCCCGGUGACCAUGACACUGGCUCCCUAAGCCGCAUCCCACAGUCGUCAUGGCGACUGAAGGAUGACGCACGGCGAGUUCAGCCCAGUGCCUGGCCGGCUGGCAAGGACCAUCGUCACCGCAGGGUCAUCCUCUCACCCCUGGCUCCCUGCUAAGCUCCAGACAGAGGGACGGGUCCCCGCGCCUGUCCUCAAAUCCCGCAGCGUUGGCUCGUCUGGCCAGUCCUGGGACCUGGGCCCCCGUGAGGACACGGGAUCCCUGCAGGAGGGAGGCGUGUCUGGUGGCUCCCGCCUCGGCCCAGGCAUGGAGACAGGUCUCUGCCGCCAGAGGCCUGGCUUGGAUGGUUUCCUGGAGUCUCCGAGGUCUGGGGUUAGGCUCCAUCAUCCGGAGCUUCCUUUGUGAAGCCAUUCGGGGCACGGGCAGCCCCCUCAGAGGACUCAGGACCACCAUCCGAGUCACUUCUCUUGGACACACAAAUCCUCUCAUGCUACCUGCCUUGGCCCCAAACUCUUCAAUGGCUCCCCAUUGCCCUUGAGAUACAAACAACCCUAGGAUGGUCCGUGAGGCCCCGUGGGGCCUGGCCUCCAGCCUCUCCACCACCAUGAUUCCCUCACACUCUGCUCUCCAACCUCUCUGGCCCCUGUCACACUCACUCUGGGCUGCCCUCUCGAAAGCCACUCCCCAUUUCUUCCUUGCUAGCAAAACAUCAGUUUGGUUGGACCAGCAACAUCCCCUGCACCUGGGGACGAAUCACGACUGGUCUAGUCACAGCCGCCCCAUUGCCCUCUGCCAGAUUCUUGCCUUCUCAGCCUCCUUUGCAGCUAGUAGCAGCGACGUGACCCAGUUCUAGUCAAUGAGAUGUAAGCUUUCUCCCUGCUGUCCUGCUUGUGCUGCUGCUGUGAGGUCAAGAGGCUGGAGCAGUGGCAGCCAUUUUGUGAUCAGGAAGCAACUGGUAAAAAGGACUAAAAACUAACACACUAAGGUGACUGAACAGAAGCAUGGGGGAGACCAGGGUCCUUCGUGAACACAAAAAAGAGUUAUAGUCAGGGGACAGGAGCAUGGCUUCCGUGCUCUCCAUCGCCUGUCCAGCCACGCCAAAAUGACCCCCAGACUGACAGAGAUGCCAGGCUCCCUGCAGGAGAGUGUUGUCAGGAGGGCCUAGGCGGAGCUGACAAACGCCGACCUGAGACUGAAAGUGCGUGCAGUCAGACCACGGGGAUCGGGGGGGAAGCAGGCUGUGUCCAGGGGAGAGCCCUGGCCAGGACGACGGGAGCCAGACCCCCAGAGGGAGGCAGGAAGGCACCCUGCACCUGCUCAGGAGGCCUCCUUCGGGGGGCCCUGGAGAAUUACGAGGAAGGCCACGACCCACAGGCCCCAUGGGAGGCCUCUGUCUAGUUCCCUUUCCUGUCACCAUCUCAGCAAGCAAACUAACACUCACUGAAUGAAUGAAAAACCUCCUAGCACUUGUGUGCCAAUCACUACCGUAUUUAACCUCCCACUGACCCUGGGAGGCAGUGACUGCUGCAGAGAGAGUCUGAAGAGUGCCUUCUCGAGACAGCCUGUGGGGAAACUGAGGCUCAAAGGGCUUUGGUGACUCGCUGUGGCCAGGCCAUACGGGCUUUGCAACCAGAAGAGCUGGGUUUCAGUCCCAACUUUGGCACUUGCUGGCUGUGUGACCUGGGACAAAUGGCUGACCCUCUCUGAGCCUCAGCCCACUCCUCGGCGGCACAGAGAGGAAGAUAACGGUCUGCCGCAGAGGGCUCCUGAGGGGUGAGCGGUGGUGUCCACCAAGGCCGACCACAGAGAACAUGGUCUACACCAGGGGUCGGCAAACUAGCGCCAAACCCGCCCAACACCUGAAUUCGUAAAUGAAGCUUCGUGGGCACCCAGCCGUGUGUGUACAGUUGAGGGCUGCUUCGGUGCCAUGACCACAGAGCUGAGUCAUUUCAACAGAAACGGGAUGGCCCACAAAACUGAGGGUACUUACCGUCUGUCCAGACAGAAAGUUCGUCUACACCCCGACCGAUCCGAGCAUGAGAUCCUGGCAGCGUCAGCAACGUGGGUUGGAGAUGCAGGACCUCAGGCCCCCUGACUGGCACCAGAGCCUGCAUUUUAACCAGACGGCCCAGGCGGGGAAGAUCCGGCUGGAGAACGACAGGUCUGCGCCACUGGGCAGGGUCGGGGGGGCGGCCAAGUUGACGGGGAGAGGGACGAAUGAGUUUGAGGGAGGAGGCUGCAGGCCAGGUUCCCGCCGCGACGCUCACCGGAGUCACCCAGGGAGCCCUCAGACGCACCGGUUCCCGCCAGGCCCGUCGGCGAGGCUCAUUUCAUUGGCCGGGUGGGGUCAGCCAGGGCACCUUGUGGAAACUGGUGCAUUGAUUGGACGAACAAAGGAGAGGAGAACGGGGCAGUGAGAGCUGACACCCGGGGCACCCCCCUCCCCAAAAGGAAGCCCUCAGACCAAGAGGGCAGCCAAAGGGUUGCGCUGGAUCUGUAGGAUGCUUCCCCGGACGUGACUUGGGGACACGGAGAAGGAGGGAAGAAGAGAGAGAGGGGAGAAAGGGAGAGGAGGCCAAAGGUCCCAGAGACUAAGAAUCAGCUACCGGGACGUGGGGACAGAGGAGCGCCGGGCGAGGGGCUGGUGAGACCCGCACCUCCGGGCGUUUGCCUGCCCAGCCCGUCUUGCCAGGGACCCAGGAAGGCCCUUGUCUGCGAAUCCCAAACUCCAGACCCUUGGGGGCCACCUCUAUGACUCCGACCAUCUCCAUCCAUCUACCAUUUGCUUCAUAUUUUUAUUCAAAAUGACUCACCUUAUUUUUUUUUACUUAAGUUUAUUUUAAAAGAAAAUUCUCUGUGAUCCAUGUAAAUGGAAAAGGAGUGUCACUGCCACCAAGAGAAGACGACUCCGAAAACGAGCACGUGGGAGAUAAGUCACGCAGUAAACGCCGCUGCCUGCCCGCGGCUCGGAGCCGGAGCCCUGCCCUCGCUCUGCUAAGCAGGGGCUGAGCAGCUGGGGGACCGGCUGUAAAGACGCAGGCACCAGGCUAAACUGAGAAGAGGAGAAAAAUUGUCAAAGAGGAAGGGCCUUCUCCCCGUGCCCUGCGCUGAGCCUCCUGUCGGCCACAGAGUCUGGGUCCCGCAUUUCCCACACCCCCAUCCCACAAACCCCUUCUUCAGAGAUGGGGAGCCAGGGCCCCAAGCACAGAAGCCACCGUUCCCUCAGAGCUCGUGACACAUCGACACUCACACCAGCCUCGGACGUGCCACCAGGAUGUGUCCCCUCCCGUCCCCUUCUCAGGAGGCAGAGCAUCUCCACAGUCUCAGCCUCCUUGAAGCCGCAGCUGCCUGGAGCUGUCGCCAUCCUUCCAGCACUUCCACCCUCGAGGCCACCGGUGCUUCUGCCCAGAGCGGACACUGGGGUUCUGGGCAUCACUUCAACUGCUCAGCGUCCAUCGAGGCGGUGUGAAGGGCUGGGCUCCUUCCUCGGGCACACACAGAGCGCGGGUGGCUGGGUCUGCAGGCCGGGCCUGGCCACCUCGAGACCAGCCACCAGUGGCCGGUCGUCAGGAUGGUGGCUCGCCCACAUUCCAGAGCCGCAGGCUGGGGCAUGCCUGCCGGGCAGUGGCUGGUGUUUACCGCCAGGCAGAAGCACAAAGGAGCCCUUUUGUCUCCAGGCCGCACCCUGGUGACCGCACACCCCACGGAGCUGCAGGUCACCCUCUCUCUGGUGGGCAAUUCUGCCUUCAUGUUACCGAGCAACUGCGUGGGGCGGAGACCCCCCACUGCCAUCGAGUUUGAGGUGGUGCCGCCUGGGUUCAGCCCUCAGCCCUGCCGCUCACCUCCUGAGGGACCUCGGGGGAAGGGCUGACUCAGGGCCUCAUAAACACACAGAUGCAGAGCGGCUGUAAGGAUUAAAGAGUAAUCACGUUCAGCAUUUCAAACAGUGUGAGCGCUCCACAAAUGUUAGCACGGGGCAUCUGAGUUUUUCGAUUUUUGGUUUUUCCAUCUCCCACUUUCAAAUAACUCCACUAUGCAUGUUUCUGUCCCUGAGGACAAAAAUGUUUUGCCAAAAGAUGAAACGCUGGGUUGGAGGGUACGUGCAGUGUCACAGCCCUUGUUUCACACAGACACAGUGAUCUUCAGCAUCUGAAUCUGUUUACAGCGAAGCUGAUGUGUCAUUUUCCCCACAUCCCUGCCAACACUGGGUUUUAUCAUUUUAUACUUGUUUUCUAACUUCAUCGGCCUGUAGAGCAGCUCUCGUGUGCACCUGUUGCUCUGCCUGCCAGACUGUGCAUUCUCCCAGGUAACAGUUAACUGUCGACGUUUCCUCAGGGAUAAACGUUUUGUUCCGCUCCUUUGAAGGUUUCUCAGACGGCAUCUGCAACAGUUCCUGGCAGGUGCACGCUGGAAGCAUCUUCCGAGCAGGAAGGGGGGACGAGAGAGGCUGCAGCUUGGGAAGGCAGUGACAGUCUCUGCCCCCACCCCCCAUUGCCUGCCUUCCAUUCCCCUGAGCGUCCUCAGAGCACCCCCCAUGGAGGAAACCCUUCCGGGGCUGGGGUUGCAGGCACUGAGGCGGGGGGGGGGGGGGGGGGGGGGGGGGGGGGGGGGGGGGUAGGAAGAACGGAGGGACCAGAGGAAUGGGCUGCAUUUCCUGGAGCAAGAAGCCAGCCAGUGAGGCCGAGGUGCAGCAGGUGCAGUCCCGCAGCAACUCUCCCCGGAGCCCUGGGGGCCAGGAACCUCUCCUUCCAAACUGACGGGUCAGAAUAAACGCCUCCACAAGUUAGGAUUCCAGGCGACGGUCCCUCCUUGCUCCUUCCUCACUGAGGCUCCCAGGCGCUGUGUCGGCAAGAUGCCAGCACCUCUUUCUCAGGUCAUCCCUCACCCGGAACCUGCGAGGACCCCAAAGUCGUCGUCAACCACAGGGGGCGGGGCCGGUUCCCAACCAAACAUCCCUGCCGCCGGGGGUCUUGCCACCACACGGGCUUGCUGUGGAAGACGGGUCUGGAACAGCCUAGCAGACGGGAGUUCACUGUGCAGCGGCGCCCGGGCUGGCUGAACUGGCCGCCCGCAUCUUGAAUGUCGCCCACACUUCGAACUUGAGUUUCCAGCUCUCGAGGGUCACUCAACACUCAGAACAGAAUGACAAGUCACUUCCCCAUCCAACACACCUCCUGGGUCCCCACCCCCAGCACAGAAGCCCCCUGGGCAGCCCAGAUGGUGGCACUGCCCCUACUUUGACAGAGAGGCACCUGGAGCCUCAAAGAGUAACAUUUCCGGAGUCACCCGGCUAGAGUCACCACCCUGGGCACUGAAGGGUGUUUAGCAGCAUCCCUGGUCCCCACCCACGGGACUCCAGGAGCAUCCCCACCCCAGCCGUGACAACCAAAAAUGUCCCCGGACAUUGCCCAGUGUCCCCGAGGGGCAGACUCGCCCCCACUGGAGAACCACUGCUUUGGACGUGGCUGAACACAUCUGCUGUCUGGGGACCAGUGUCCAGCAGAUUCUCCUGAUCUUUGGGAUCCACACCAUCUCGGUGGCCUGUGGGGGCCCUGUAGGACCUCACCACCCCUCUCCAGCUUGCCCUAAUGCGGUCGCCUGCUGUUUCCUCUGCCCUCAGCUCUCUCUGUGUCUCUGGUCCCCUUCCAGGCCCUUCCACGCCCUCAGGGGCCAGCAGAGGCAGGCCCUGACUACACUCCCUGAGCGCCCCAGCUUCACCAUCCCCCUCCAGCCAUCCCCCUGAUUUAGUGUCCUCACGGCCUUUUCUUAAAUUGCCCUGUUUCUGUAUCUCCUUAUUGACGUGUUUGUUUCCGUCUCAGCUCCACGGGGCUCGUCCAUCCCGUUCUCUGCUGUCCCCAGAGCACAGCAGAGCACACGGCGCACGGAACAUGCUCAGGACGCUCCACGAAUGAGCCGGGAGACGGGCGGGCUCCUUGGGUCCUAGAAAUGGACCUCAUCCGCCCCCAGGCCGCGGAGGUGAGCAAAGCCUGCCAGGCCGCCUCACCCGAGCACCCCCCAAGCGUGCCCACCACCCCUUGGGCUCCUCGGGGCUCUUGGGAAACAGCACGGCAAGCCCCCUCGACCCUCCCCGGGGCCAGAAGCCACCGCCGGCCAGUGCAGGAGGCAGCGGCUCUAAUUAUAGAAGGCAGGUUG